rnacentral:rRNA from 1 species
UACGAAGGGGGCUAGCGUUGUUCGGAAUUACUGGGCGUAAAGCGUACGUAGGCGGAUUGUUAAGUGAGGGGUGAAAUCCCAAGGCUCAACCUCGGAACUGCCUUUCAUACUGGCAAUCUUGAGUCCGGGAGAGGUGAGUGGAACUCCUAGUGUAGAGGUGAAAUUCGUAGAUAUUCGCAAGAACACCAGUGGCGAAGGCGGCUCACUGGCCCGGUACUGACGCUGAGGUGCGAAAGCGUGGGGAGCAAACAGGG